AGAGAGAGACAUGCGCGCAUAUCAAUAAGCGGAGGAAAAGAAACUAACUAGGAUUCCCUCAGUAACGGCGAGUGAAGCGGGAAGAGCUCAAAUUUGAAAUCUUCAAGGUUCUACCUUGACGAAUUGUAGUUUAAAGAAGUGUUUUCUGUUGGAGUUUUGGUAAAAGUUCUUUGGAAUAGGACAUCAUAGAGGGUGAGAAUCCCGUAUUUGACCAUUAUUUCCAGCUUUGUGAUACACUUUCAAAGAGUCGGAUUGUUUGGGAAUGCAGUCCAAAAUGGGUGGUAAAUUUCAUCUAAAGCUAAAUAUUGGCGAGAGACCGAUAGCGAACAAGUACCGUGAGGGAAAGAUGAAAAGAACUUUGAAAAGAGAGUUAAACAGUACGUGAAAUUGUCAAAAGGGAAGCGUUUGACACCAGUGUUGUUUUCUCGAAAAUCAAUUAAAAAAGGCAGGAUUUUGUGUUGUAUUGACUUUAUCAGCUUUCUGCACUCUUUUCUUGUCUUUUUAAAUGCACUUUUCGUUUAACAAGUCAACAUCAAUUUCUUUUGUUGUAAAAGGGUCAUUGGAAGGUGGCUUUCUUUUCGGAGAAAGUGUUUAUAGCCUUUGGCCUCUGCAAUCGGAGAGAUUGAGGUCUGCAGCGUAGAUCCUUCGGGGUUAGAUACAUUUGUGCUAAGUUAUAGCCUUUCAUAGACAACUUGUUGACUAUGAUCAGUCAUGUAGCUUACUCGCUUAUGCUAUUUUACCUACGCUUAGGAUGUUGAUGUGAUACUGCGAGCA
rnacentral:rRNA from 1 species